rnacentral:lncRNA from 1 species
GCAUCUCAUCAGUCAUCACUACUCACUAGUACAACUUCCUCCCCUUUUCCUCUUUGCUAGAGACUCUUUUUCUCUUUAAGCUUUCAAAUCCUUUCUUGUCAAUCACCCAAAUGGCCAAAACCAACCUCAUUGUUCUAGCCGGUGCCCUUCUCCUUGUGCUAUUGUUUUCCUACGGUAUCACAUUUACGGAGGAAAGGGUUUUGAAGACAGACAAAGACGUCAAGCCUGCUGGCAACUAUGUGACGAAUGUGAUGACCAGCAGCCACAAGACCAACUUGAACCGUGACAUUUUAGAAGACGGAACAGUUGAUGUCCCUACUUCCAGCUCUGGCAAUGGCACUGCAUUUGAUGCCAAUGAUUUCCGCCCCACGACUCCAGGCCACAGCCCCGGUGCCGGUCACUCCACUGGACCUGCCGGUAAUGACAAAAACUAGAUCACACUCCCUGCAAGAACCAUUAUAUUUCCACUACCGUGCGUCGCUACUUUUAAUCAAUCUCUCGUAGGCUAUAUAUCCUAUGAUUAUGUACUAGCUAUACCUAAGGCACUGAAAUGAUCGUGCUCUAGGAAUCAAUGUUAUUUGCAUGUAUUAAGCACACGAAAGGAAUGCAUCUCAAAGUGUGUUCAUUAUCACUCAUUUUUAAAUUAAUAAAUAAAAAUUUAGUUUUAAUAAUACUAUCUAUAUUAUGUUUUAUAUGUUUGUUGCCAACGAUGGGAAUUGUUGGUGCGGGCACUUUUUCCUUAUUCGGCUUUUUUAUAAUAUACAUACAUACAUAUAUAUAUAUAUAUAUAUAUAUAUAUAUAGCAGUGACCUUGAAUUCUUGGAUUCACUUUUUAAUUAUAUUUCGUGCACUUAACAGGGUAUAUAACAAUAUAAUAUCCUUUUAGUCUUUUUGGGUUCCAACCCCCAGCACUUUGACUAUUGAAAGUCGGAGCCCUUUACUUCCAGUAUAUGAAAGGAAUUUAUAUAUGGAAGGACGGCACCGUCGACCGCAUCGGGACUCCUGCAGUUUUCAACUGUGAUAUCCUUUUCAAUUCAACUGGUUGUCAUGUAGAUAGGUAGUACCAAAACAGGAUCGAUGUAAAAGAGAAGAAGAAGUGAACAAACAACUAGCUGAUCUGAAUUUUACUGCUGUAUUUGCAAGGGCUGGGAGUUGGCAACUGAUAUAUAGCUAUAUAUAUCUCCAUGUUGCAGAAAACAGAAAACCUUGAAAGCUCUAUGGCCUUCGACUAGAGAUCAGAUAUAUAGAUUACAGAUGAUGAAGACAAAAUUUAAUAGUAAACAACGCUGAAUUCUUGUUUAUUAAGAAAUGAGUAACAAUGAUACACACUACUAAUUAGAUGGAUUUCUUUACAUAUAAUUUACAUGAAAUCCAUCUGACUGGAGUAAUCUUUGAGAGCAUACAGCAUAACACCGGUGCCUCUUAUUCGAGGAAUCUUCUUAACAUACUGAUAAGAAAGUCUAGCUAUGAGAUUAAAAGGCAACACAUAUUGAGAGACCAUUUUACAGAGCAGAUAAUAUCUAUGAUGUAUUCUUACGAGGAUAUAUAUACAUAUAGUAAGUGCGAUCCAGCUAGCUAGCUAGUGAUGGUCAUUAAUUACGGGCAGGUUCAGCAUGACCGACGCUGGGGCUAUGGCCGGGACUCGUGGGGUGGACAUCCUUGGUAGCGUAUUCGUAUGCAGUGAAUUUUCUUCCAAGGAAGGCACUCGGACCAUCAUGAUCUGCUCCAUAUAUGCCAUGGCUGCUCAUGGUGCUUCUUACCCUGUUUCCCCAGUACUCAUCUUUCUGCAUCUUGAAAAGCCUAACUCCCUCGGACAAUCUAAUUCCGUAAGAGAACAAUAAUAAUGAAGCGAACAGAACGGCACGAGCGAAAAUCAGGUUGUUUUCGGCCAUGAGACCAGAUAUAUGGAAGGGAUGAUCUGAAACUUCGAAUAGAAAAGUAUAUCUAAAAGGAAACUAAGAGAGUGAAUUCAAGAGAAAGUGACGAGUAAUCAAUGAUGGGAUGCCCUUAUGCCUUUGCUCGGCUGGGUAUUUAUAGACUUCAGAGGCUAUGACAGGAACAGUACAAUUCCAAUUUAAUUUCCAUCUCGAUGUUUUUCCAUAUCCACGAUCUUACCCCUGUUUCCACUCUGCAUGUUCCAUGCAACUAUUUGAAGGGUUUUUUUUUUUCUUUAAUUAGAGAAUGAUGUUUAUGCAUUUCUCAAAUAAAAAACCCAUAGUGUUUUGUUCUUUGUACUUUUGUAUUCCCAAUAAUUUACCAUUUCAUUUUCUUUCUUUCCUUUCCUUUCUAACUAAAAUUAAGCAAAAUUUUAGUAAUUCUCAAUCAGGGGUGGACCAAGGUAUUGACGAAAUGGCAACCACCACUCUUCAGUUUUUAAUUUAUUAUUAUUAUUAUUAUUAUAAGUGUAAAACAAGUUUCUAUCCUUAUAUGAUUAUGGUUUAAUCAUCUUGCAUGCGAAAUUUUAGAUCCUUCACCGCAGUUAUAAGGUCAAAUUAAUUUUUUCCACAUGAAAAAGUUGUAUAUAGAGAAAAAAAAUUUUGAUUUAUUCCUGGUCAAUAGAGAUAUAUAAAAAAAUAAUGUUAUAAAUGGCACUAAGGAAGUUUGUGAUUUUUGUUUUUGACCAUAGAAAGUGGCAUUUAAGUUUUGAGUGCCACCACAAGGAAGAUACCAUAUACCAUUUUUAAGGUCUUAUAAUAAUAUUUUAUUAACUUUGAAUAGUUGGUAAGUAGCACGGGCAAAGUCUAUAAAUGCCAGACAGAGGCAAAGCUUAAGGGCAUCUCAUCAGUCAUCACUACUCACUAGUACAACGUCCUUCUCUUUUCCUCUUAGCUAUGUUGAAGUUAACGCUUGUAUAUGUUAAGUGGACAAAAUGAGAAGUGACACUCCACUUGGAUAUCAUGCAUGUUUGUAUGUUUGUAUGCGUUUCGCUUAGUUGGUUGAGAGCCACUACGUGGAGCUAUGCAUGUCACUAUGAUAAUUAUGUUUUACACUUCUUUCUCAUGUAUUAACAAGUGUUUUAUCGAUUGAUAAUAUGUGUUAAUGAAACUGUUUAUAUAUAUGUUAAAUAUGAAUGAAACUAAUGUGGCUUUCUCUCUUUGUUUACUCUGUUUUAGAGAUAUAAAACAGAGGCUACAUCAAGCAGCCAUUUACUCUCUUUCUCCCAAAAUUAUAACAAGCUAGCUACUCUUUUUCUCUUUAAGCUUUCUAAUCCUUUCUUGUCAAUCACCCAAAUGGCCAAAACCAACCUCGUUGUUCUAGCCGGUGCCCUUCUCCUUGUGCUAUUGUUUUCCUACGGUAUCACAUUUACCGAGGAAAGGGUUUUGAAGACAGACAAAGACGUCAAGCCUGCUGGAAACUCUGUGACGAAUGUGAUGACCAGCAGUCGCAAGACCAACUUGAACCGUGACAAUUUAGAAGACGGAACGGAUGAUGUCCCUACUGCCAGCUCUGGGAAUGACACUGCAUUUGAUGCCGAUGAUUUUCGCCCCACGUCUCCAGGCCACAGCCCCGGCGCCGGUCACUCCACUGGACCUGCCAGUAGUGACAAAAACUAGAUCACACUCCCUGCAAGAACCAUUAUAUAUCCACUACUGUGUGUCGCUACUUUUAAUCAAUCUCUCGUAGGCUAUAUAUCCUAUGAUUAUGUACUAGCUAUACCCAAGGCACUGACAUGAUCGUGCUCUAAGAAUUAAUGUUGUUUGCAUGUAAUAACAGUUAUGAAUAGGCUUCGUAAGUAUUAGGCAAUGCAUCUCAAAG